UACGUAGGGUGCAAGCGUUGUCCGGAAUUAUUGGGCGUAAAGAGCGUGUAGGCGGCCAGGUAGGUCGGUUGUGAAAACUGGAGGCUCAACCUCCAGACGUCGACCGAAACCAUCUGGCUAGAGUCCGGAAGAGGAGAGUGGAAUUCCUGGUGUAGCGGUGAAAUGCGCAGAUAUCAGGAAGAACACCCGUGGCGAAAGCGGCUCUCUGGGACGGUACUGACGCUGAGACGCGAAAGCGUGGGGAGCGAACAGG
rnacentral:rRNA from 1 species